AAAUAUUUCAUUGAGACUUCGGUGGAUCUGAUCUAUUUCUAGUGGCGGACGGGUGAGUAACGCGUGGGUAACCUGCCUUAUACAGGGGGAUAACAGUCAGAAAUGGCUGCUAAUACCGCAUAAGCGCACAGAGCUGCAUGGCUCAGUGUGAAAAACUCCGGUGGUAUAAGAUGGACCCGCGUUGGAUUAGCUAGUUGGUGGGGUAACGGCCCACCAAGGCGACGAUCCAUAGCCGGCCUGAGAGGGUGAACGGCCACAUUGGGACUGAGACACGGCCCAGACUCCUACGGGAGGCAGCAGUGGGGAAUAUUGCACAAUGGGGGAAACCCUGAUGCAGCGACGCCGCGUGAAGGAAGAAGUAUCUCGGUAUGUAAACUUCUAUCAGCAGGGAAGAUAGUGACGGUACCUGACUAAGAAGCCCCGGCUAACUACGUGCCAGCAGCCGCGGUAAUACGUAGGGGGCAAGCGUUAUCCGGAUUUACUGGGUGUAAAGGGAGCGUAGACGGUGUGGCAAGUCUGAUGUGAAAGGCAUGGGCUCAACCUGUGGACUGCAUUGGAAACUGUCAUACUUGAGUGCCGGAGGGGUAAGCGGAAUUCCUAGUGUAGCGGUGAAAUGCGUAGAUAUUAGGAGGAAC
rnacentral:rRNA from 1 species